GAGAAUUUUGACACUAGAGCGGGGCACGCUUCUGAAUGACAGCCAGAUUUUCUAAUUGGAAAAACUGAUGUAUUUUGAUUCGCCUUGUUUUCGAGAAUCUAGGUAGUUCAGUUUGCUGCUCCGGAUUGUUUUUUGUGUAGUGCUGGUCCCUGCUUCCGGAUUCGGUUCAAUCUGCGGUCACCGAUCCGGUGUUCGGUUUUAUUUAUCAUCGAGAACGAUUUUUCUACCGUUUCCUUCCGGUUUCGAAACAUCAUUACGAUUUGUGCUGCUGUCGUCUGUGUCUGCCGCUAGUUUCGUCGUAUCUCUGGAUCGCUGUCCAGGCCAAGGUCCAGGCCAUUGUUUUCAAGUCCCGUGCUGCGCUUCUGAUUUCUGAUCCGGUUUGUGUGUCCGGUUGCCAACCCGAUUGCGAAUUGCCGUCACCAGAAAGCAAUCACCGUCCCUUGCUGCUUCCGUAUCGUGCCGUCUCACGGAAUCGUACAGGCACUAGGGCAGUACUUCCGCUUCCCGUCACCGGCUUUGGAUUCAGGUUCGGUUUGCCUCUCCGUAAUCAUAAUUACGGUUUGUGCUGCUGUCGUCCGUCUCUGCCGCUCGUUUUGUGCGGCCUCUGGAUAGCUGUCCAGGCAACCGUUUCCAAACCCUAGCUGCGCUUCUGAUCCGGUUUGCGUCUCCGGCUGCCAACUCGAUUGCGGAUUGUCGUCACCCAGAAAGCGAUCACCAUCCUUUCUUCCAGAGAAUACUGAAGGCAUAAGGGCUGUUCUUGCGAUUCCCGUCGUCAGACCUAGUUUUAGAUUUCCUUGGCGUAAAGUUCUAGGCUUCCAUCACCGGUUACUGUUACCAGAUACCGAGUACAGAUUUCGUUGCCAAUCAAAGCUGCUUCCGCUUCAUCGGCCCUGCCACUGUCACCGGUUCCUACCAGAUUUUGGAUUUGCGUUGCAUGUCAGUGUUUACCGUGCCGCAAAGAAGUACCACUGUCGAAAGCUGUUGAAGUAUCCCGCUAUGAGUAAGUUUAUUAUGUUUUAUAUUUUAAGUAGAAUAAAGACCAAGGGGAACGACAUCCUUUGAUGACCGGAAAUAUCCGCAUUUAUCCGUUGCUAACCGUCGUUAACCGCGUCUAACUUCUGCUCGGUUAACAGCGGUUAGGGACGGAUAUAUGCGGAUUUUUCGGUUAGAAAAGGAAGUGACAUUCCCCCUGAUAAAGACAAUGAUAGCUUUGAAUGUUUCUAUUCAGCUCAUAAAAUUAUGUGAAGUUCUAAAUCAAGGAUUGUAAAAAUGCUUUGAUUUUGUAGUUUAGGUACAAACUUGCAGGAAUAAUUAAAUUGAAUCAACAGUUUUGAAAAUACUAUUUCCAUUAAAAUACUAUCACACAUAUUUUAUUGAAGCUCAAAUUCAUUUUUUUUUUCAGGUAAAAUACAAGUUACUAACUUACAAACCACAGGCACUCGACUGUCCGUUUACGCCCGUAAUCUCCCGAAGGACAACCCGAAUGUAUUUCAGAGAUACAUAGAGAAAAUCGGACUAAUUGGAUUCAACGAUCCAUAUGUUCUUGGUUUCGCAAACAAUGAUUUACCGCUUAACGUGACCACGGGUCAUGUUGUCGAGUACCUUCUUAACUUUCGGUCACCCUACACGCGAAAUCCUAUGAAAAAUCAUAGAAGUUUAGAAGGAUACAAAAAAUAUGAAGCUGGUUUUGUAAAUUCUGUAACGGGCAAACUUCUUAACGGAAAUUAUGUGGUCGUCGGAAAGGUGAGAAAAUCAUGUUGUAAAAUGAUAUGAAAAUAAGCUUCUUGCGAUACAAACGUCGCUUUCUUGAGCGAAAUAGCAACACAAUUUUUUUCUGAAAUGUACGCUCUAGAGUAAUACUCAAAAAAUUUCUAAGGGCCAAUUUCUUCACCUCGGCUUAACCGGUAAGCCAGGCUUAUCGAUACAGUUAAACCUGGCUUGAAAAAAUCGCCCCUAAGUAAACAAAAUGUAUUUAAAAUCGUUUCAUUAUUAUUAUUAUUAUUAUUUAUUUUAGGUUAUACAUUCUAUGAGGCUAAGGGAGUCGAUGUUACGGUCAUGGAUCAUAAUCAAUAAAUCGGGUAAUAUCCUUGCUGCCCACUGUGACUGUGUUGCAGGGUGCAGUGAGACAUGUUCUCACGUAAGCGCCGUGCUAUACUAUCUAGCAAAUCUACACGCGCAAUCAGUUGAUCGAAGGGUAUGUAAGCAGUGCAAUAGUUCCCAAUUUGUCUUGCCCUUAUCUUUUUCGGGAUAUAACUCAAUAGGAACAUAAUUGUAUAGUAGUAGCAAUACUUAUAUUGAUUAUACUCGAGAAUCGCCGGUUGGGCUACAAUCUCGACCCAAUUAAUGAUGUUUUAACUAGUUGGGUCAUUUUUUAUAAUUUUUAUUUACGUGUAUUUUAACUUAGGCUAAUUCUGUUUGCUUGCUUAAAUG